CCGCUUCAUUCUCUUCGCGACCCAUCAUCUUUCUUUCUUUCUUUCUUUCUCUCUCCCGCAACCCCUGUCAUCCGCCGCUUGCACGCACCACCCACCUCAACAGUGACAGGGACGGAAAGACCUUCGGGGGAGCGGCGAUGGCGGAAAUGGCUGGCUAGUCUGUUGUAGGGGUACAGCCAGAAGAAAGAAACGAGAGACAAUAAUAUCCAGUUCUUCGCAAAUCUUGCCUACAUUGUUGAAGACAGACUGCCACCAUGGUUAGAAUACGAACACCACCCCCUAAAACAGAACCACAGUAUCGAUCUCUCAGCACAAGAGUGUCAAAAUGCAAAUCCAGUUCAGACAGCCAUCUAAACUAUCGUUUAGCUUAUUGUAAAAAAGCAAACAAAAAAACACCAUGACAAGCCUUGGGCUUCUGUACUCCUUCUUUCAUCCCCUCCAUGUGUACAAGGAGUGUGAAAACUUCUACUUUCACUUUACAAACGAUCAUUUCACAUAAUGUACAGACUUAAGGAACUAUGGUGUGUUAACUAGCUAGAGCUGGAAUAAACCGAGUUUUGAUCCUGA